GCAUAUCAAUAAGCGGAGGAAAAGAAACCAACAGGGAUUGCCUCAGUAACGGCGAGUGAAGCGGCAAAAGCUCAAAUUUGAAAUCUAGCACCUUCGGUGUUCGAGUUGUAAUUUGAAGAUGGUAACCUUGGGUUUGGCUCUUGUCUAUGUUCCUUGGAACAGGACGUCAUAGAGGGUGAGAAUCCCGUCUGAUGAGAUGCCCAUUCCUAUGUAAGGUGCUAUCGAAGAGUCGAGUUGUUUGGGAAUGCAGCUCUAAGUGGGUGGUAAAUUCCAUCUAAAGCUAAAUAUUGGCGAGAGACCGAUAGCGAACAAGUACAGUGAUGGAAAGAUGAAAAGAACUUUGAAAAGAGAGUGAAAAAGUACGUGAAAUUGUUGAAAGGGAAGGGCAUUAGAUCAGACUUGGUGUUUUACGAUUAUCUUCUCUUCUUGAAUUGUGCACUCGUAUUUCACUGGGCCAGCAUCGAUUCGGAUGGCAAGAUAAUGGCAGUUGAAUGUGGCUUCACUUCGGUGGAGUGUUAUAGCUUCUGCUGAUAUUGCCUGUCUGGAUCGAGGGCUGCGUCUUUUGACUAGGAUGCUGGCGUAAUGAUCUAAUGCCGCCCGUCUUGAAACACGGACC
rnacentral:rRNA from 1 species